GCCUCCAUGGUCCAUGGGUUAAGACUCCAGGUUCUCAGCCUGGGAAAUAGGGUUCGAGUCCCUGUGGAGGUA
rnacentral:tRNA from 1 species